CCUACGAGUGGCAGCAGUGAGGAAUAUUGGUCAAUGGACGCAAGCCUGACCCAGCAACGCCGCGUGAAGGAAGAAGGCUUUCGGGUUGUAAACUUCUUUUAUCAGGGACGAAGCAAGUGACGGUACCUGAUGAAUAAGCCACGGCUAACUACGUGCCAGCAGCCGCGGUAAUACGUAGGUGGCAAGCGUUAUCCGGAUUUACUGGGUGUAAAGGGCGUGUAGGCGGGGGUGCAAGUCAGAUGUGAAAACUAUGGGCUCAACCCAUAGCCUGCAUUUGAAAUUGUACUUCUAGAGUGCUAGAGAGACAAUGGAAAGCCCGUGUGUAGGGGUGAAAGGCG
rnacentral:rRNA from 1 species